UUGAACGCUGGCGGCAUGCUUUACACAUGCAAGUCGAACGGCAGCACGGGUGCUUGCACCUGGUGGCGAGUGGCGAACGGGUGAGUAAUGCAUCGGAACGUGCCCAUGAGUGGGGGAUAGCCCGGCGAAAGCCGGAUUAAUACCGCAUACGCCCUUAGGGGGAAANCGGGGGAUCUUCGGACCUCGCGCUAUUGGAGCGGCCGAUGUCGGAUUAGCUAGUAGGUGAGGUAAAGGCUCACCUAGGCGACGAUCCGUAGCUGGUCUGAGAGGAUGAUCAGCCACACUGGGACUGAGACACGGCCCAGACUCCUACGGGAGGCAGCAGUGGGGAAUUUUGGACAAUGGGCGCAAGCCUGAUCCAGCCAUGCCGCGUGAGUGAAGAAGGCCUUCGGGUUGUAAAGCUCUUUCAGGUGGAAAGAAAUAGCGCUGUUUAAUAGAUGGCGUUGAUGACGGUACCACCAGAAGAAGCACCGGCUAACUACGUG
rnacentral:rRNA from 1 species